UACGAAGGGGGCUAGCGUUGCUCGGAAUUACUGGGCGUAAAGCGUGUGUAGGCGGUCUCAUAAGUCGGAUGUGAAAGCCCCGGGCUCAACCCGGGAAGUGCAUUCGAAACUGCGAGGCUAGAGUAUCGGAGAGGUUGGUGGAAUUCUCGGUGUAGAGGUGAAAUUCGUAGAUAUCGAGAGGAACACCGGUGGCGAAGGCGGCCAACUGGACGAAUACUGACGCUGAGACACGAAAGCGUGGGGAGCAAACAGG
rnacentral:rRNA from 1 species